rnacentral:sRNA from 5 species
AUUCUCCUUGAUAACAGCGACGAUGUUGUUUUAUGGUCUGCGAAAUUAUCGCCAGCACCAGGGAGGAUAACGUUGCGUAAGCAACGGCCCGUAGGGCGAGGCGCAGCCGAGUAAUCCUCCCGGAUGCACCA